rnacentral:rRNA from 1 species
UACGUAGGGAGCAAGCGUUGUCCGGAAUCAUUGGGCGUAAAGCGCGCGUAGGCGGCCCUGUAAGUCCGCUGUGAAAGUCAAAGGCUCAACCUUUGAAAGCCGGUGGAUACUGCAGGGCUAGAGUCCGGAAGAGGCGAGUGGAAUUCCUGGUGGUAGCGGUGGAAUGCGCAGAUAGUCAGGAGGAACACCAAUAGCGAAGGCAGCUCCGCUGGGACGGUACUGACGCUAAGGCGCGAAAGCGUGGGGAGCGAACAGG